rnacentral:rRNA from 1 species
GACGAACGCUGGCGGCGUGCUUAACACAUGCCAGUCGAACGGAAAGGCCCUGCUUUUGUGGGGUGCUCGAGUGGCGAACGGGUGAGUAACACGUGAGUAACCUGCCCUUGACUUUGGGAUAACUUCAGGAAACUGGGGCUAAUACCGGAUAGGAGCUCCUGCUGCAUGGUGGGGGUUGGAAAGUUUCGGCGGUUGGGGAUGGACUCGCGGCUUAUCAGCUUGUUGGUGGGGUAGUGGCUUACCAAGGCUUUGACGGGUAGCCGGCCUGAGAGGGUGACCGGCCACAUUGGGACUGAGGUACGGCCCAGACUCCUACGGGAGGAAGCAGUGGGGAAUAUUGCACAAUGGGCGGAAGCCUGAUGCAGCAACGCCGCGUGCGGGAUGACGGCCUUCGGGUUGUAAACCGCUUUCGCCUGUGACGAAGCGUGAGUGACGGUAAUGGGUAAAGAAGCACCGGCUAACUACGUG